UUCCUCCUACGGGACGCAGCAGUGGGGAAUAUUGCACAAUGGGGGAAACCCUGAUGCAGCGACGCCGCGCGAGUGAAGAAGUAUUUCGGUAUGUAAAGCUCUAUCAGCAGGGAAGAAAAAAGACGGUACCUGACUAAGAAGCCCCGGCUAACUACGUGCCAGCAGCCGCGGUAAUACGUAGGGGGCAAGCGUUAUCCGGAUUUACUGGGUGUAAAGGGAGCGUAGACGGUGCGUCAAGUCUGAAGUGAAAGCCCGGGGCUUAACCCCGGGACUGCUUUGGAAACUGGC
rnacentral:rRNA from 1 species